UCAAAACUUUCAACAACGGAUCUCUUGGUUCUGGCAUCGAUGAAGAACGCAGCGAAAUGCGAUAAGUAAUGUGAAUUGCGGAAUUCAGUGAAUCAUCGAAUCUUUGAACGCACAUUGCGCCCUCUGGUAUUCCAGAGGGCAUGCCUGUUCGAGCGUCAUU
rnacentral:rRNA from 1 species